rnacentral:rRNA from 1 species
UCAAGUUACUAAGGGCGCAUGGGGGAUGUCUUGGCAUCAGAAGGCGAUGAAGGGCGUGGAAGUCUGCGAAAAGCUUGGGGGAGCUGACAAACAAGCGUUGAUCCCGAGAUUCCCGAAUUAGCUCGUGCUGAAUCCAUAGGCACGAGUGGCAAACCCAGGGAACUGAAACAUCUAAGUACCUGGAGGAGUAGAAAGAAAAAUCGAUUCCGUAAGUAGCGGCGAGCGAAAGCGGAGUAGCCCAAACCACGAGGGUUUCCCGAGUGGGGUUGUAGGGUCCUUCACAUGGGAGUUACAAAACUCUGGCUAGCGGAAGUGCUCUGGAACGACACACCAUAGAGGGUGACGGUCCCGUACGCGAAAGCUUCGAGUCUCCCGAAGGAUACCUGAGUAGGUCGGAGCACGUGAAACUCCGACUGAAUCUACGGGGACCAUCCCGUAAGGCUAAAUACUCUCUGAUGACCGAUAGUGAACUAAGUAGAGCGAUCGAAAGAUGAGAAGAACCCCGGCUAGGGGAGGACAGUGAACCUGAAACCAUGUGCCUACAAGCGGUCGGAGCACGAUUAAACGUGUGACGGCGUGCCUUUAGCAAAAUGAUCCGGCGAGUUACCGUCUGCGGCUUUGGGUUAAGCCCUUCAGGGGCGGAGCCAUAGGGAAACCGAGUCUUAACUGGGCGAUUUGUCGCAGGUGGUAGACGCGAAACUGCGUGAUCUACCCAUGAGCAGGUUGAAGCGCGGGUUAAACCGCGUGGAGGACCGAACCCACUUGGGUUGAAAACCGAGGGGAUGACUUGUGGGGAGGAGUGAAAGUCUAAUCAAACGCAGAGAUAGCUCGUUCUCUCCGAAAUAUAUUUAGGUAUAGCCUCGAGCCACUACUCACCGGGGGUAGAGAUACUGAAUCGGAUGGGGGCCCGCCAAGGGUACCCCACCGAACCAAACUCCGAAUACCGGUGAGACUAUCUCGGGAGUCAGUCUGCGGGGGAUAAGCUCCGUGGUCGAGAGGGAAACAACCCAGAUCGUCGGCUAAGGUCCCUAAACUAUGCUCAGUCACUAAGGAAGUUGAAUCUCUGUGACAGCCAGGAUGUUGGCUUAGAAGCAGCCACCAUUUAAAAAGUGCGUAACAGCUUACUGGUCGAGAGAUUCUGCGCCGAUAAUGAACGGGAGUAAGCAUAGUACCGAAGCCACGGGCUUGAGUCGCUCUGCGGAGCGGCCCAAGCGGUAGGAGAGCGCUGUAGAGCAGAUACAAGCCGUACCGAAAGGAGCGGUGUCGGGCUCUACAGGUGAUUAUGCCGGAAUGAGUAACGAUAAAACAGGUGAGAAUCCUGUUCGCCGAAAGCCUAAGGUUUCCUGGGGAAGGUAAAUCCGCCCAGGGUUAGCCGGUACCUAAGACGAGGCCGAAAGGCGUAGUCGAUGGAUAGCAGGUUAAUAUUCCUGCGCCACACGUGUGGAGCGAUGGAGGGACGGCAUCCGAAAAACAUGCGGACGGCUAGAAAUGUCCGUUGCUUCAGGCCGAGAACGGGGGUAGGCAAAUCCGCCUCCAUAGUUCAAGGCCUGGAGCUAACAGCACCUAAGAUCUGGAUGAUGUUGGCAGGAUGUCCAAGAAAAGCUUCUAAGCUUUGAAGCACGUGUGACCGUACUAAAACUGACACAGGUAGGCGAGACGAGUAGUCUAAGGCGCUCGGGAGAACGGUGAUUAAGGAACUCUGCAAAAUGGCCCCGUAAGUUCGCGAUAAGGGGCGCCUACGCAAGUAGGCCACAGAAAAUCGGCUCUGACGACUGUUUAUCAAAAACACAGGACGCUGCUAACACGCAAGUGGAUGUAUAGCGUCUGACGCCUGCCCGGUGCCGGUAGGUUAAGGAAGGCGGUUAGCUCUUCGGAGCGAAGCUGGCGACCGAAGCCCCGGUAAACGGCGGCCCUAACUAUGAACGUUUCGUAGUUGUAAAAUCUGGCUAUAUGCUGGGACACCUGAGUAUCCACCGGUACUCACCCAAGUAAGGAUCCGAUGAAAGCACAUGCGUUUCGCCGGACCAAAUGGGCAGUGACAAUCCGCGUGGUGCAGGCAAUCAGCAGGAAAGGCUGUCUGAGAUGCUUAACGUCGAUCGCAUCGAUCCCGCAAUCGGUUAUUACAUCGCGGGAUACGUUGACGGUGAAGGAAGCUUCAUGCUGAAGUUUCGACCCCGGCCCGAUUUCUCCACCGGCUGGAAGGUCUCCCUCACAUUCAACGUGUCGCAGAGAGACAGAGUGAUUCUCGCUCUGAUCAAACGACACUUGAAGUGCGGAACGAUCUUCGAAAAAGGUGGCGGAGUCUGGAUGUACGAGGUCAAUAACCUCACCGCCCUGCGCGAUCAUGUCGUUCCCUUUUUCCGAAAGUUUCCUUUCCUCUCCGGAAAGAAAAAACGUGACUUCGCUACGUUUCGGAAAAUGCUGGAAUUGAUGCUCGACGGAGCCCACAAGACUCCUGAAGGCAUCCAUGAGUUGCUUCGCUUGCGACGCAACAUGAACGACGGCGGAAAGCGAAAGUUCAGCGAGGAACACAUCCUGGCGAACUUGAAAUCAGACGGAAUCCUCAGAGACUACACGCCAGAUCCACCCGCGACCUGACGCGAGUGGAAUGAUAUAGUCCGAGCUGCAUGGCGACAUGCAGAGGCUGGCAGAAAUGUCCGGCCCGCCACGGUCCUGGCUCUCGCAGACCAAACCGAUGGUAGUAACAACCCUGGAGGGUCCUAAGGUAGCGAAGUUCCUUGUCGGGUAAGUUCCGACCUGCAUGAAAGGCGUAACGAUCGGAGCACUGUCUCAAUCACCGACCCGGUGAAAUUGUAGUCGUGGUGAAGAUGCCACGUACCCGCGGUUAGACGGAAAGACCCCGUGAACCUUUACUGUAGGCUGAUAUUGGGUUGAGGUAUGGCCUGUGUAGGAUAGCUGGGAGGCUGUGAACUGGGCGCGUCAGCGCUCAGGGAGCCGUCGGUGAAAUACCAGCCUGGCCAUGCUUUAAUUCUAACCCUAAACCCUGAAUCGGGUUAGGGGACAGUGUCAGUUGGGCAGUUUGACUGGGGCGGUCUCCUCCUAAAGAGUAACGGAGGAGUGCAAAGGUCCACUCAGCCUGGUCGGCAAUCAGGCGUAGAGCGUAAAGGUAGAAGUGGGCUUAACUGCGAGACAAAUAAGUCGAGCAGAUACGAAAGUAGGCCUUAGUGAUCCGGUGAUUCCGAAUGGAAGGGUCAUCGCUCAUCAGAUAAAAGGUACUCCGGGGAUAACAGGCUUAUCGCAUCCGAGCGUCCACAGCGGCGAUGCGGUUUGGCACCUCGAUGUCGGCUCAUCACAUCCUGGGGGUGAAGAAGCUCCCAAGGGUUUGGCUGUUCGCCAAUGAAAGUGGUACGUGAGCUGGGUUCAGACCGUCGUGAGACAGGUCGGUCCCUAUCUGCCGUGGGCGUACGAAACUUGAGGGGAUUCAACCUUAGUACGAGAGGAUUUGGUUGGACGUAGCUCUGGUGUACCAGUUGUCACGCUAGUGGCACGGCUGGAUAGCUAACUACGGAAAGGAUAAACGCUGAAAGCAUCUAAGCGUGAAGCCCGCCCCAAGAUUAGGUUUCGUAAGCGCGUAAGCGCGAAAGUCCCCUGGAAGACUACCAGGUUGAUAGGCCAGAUGUGUAAGCACGGUAACGUGUUCAGCUAACUGGUACUAACGGACGAAUACUUG